AGUGAACGCUGGCGGUAGGCCUAACACAUGCAAGUCGAACGGCAGCACAGUAAGAGCUUGCUCUUACGGGUGGCGAGUGGCGGACGGGUGAGGAAUACAUCGGAAUCUACUUUUUCGUGGGGGAUAACGUAGGGAAACUUACGCUAAUACCGCAUACGACCUACGGGUGAAAGCAGGGGAUCUUCGGACCUUGCGCGAUUGAAUGAGCCGAUGUCGGAUUAGCUAGUUGGCGGGGUAAAGGCCCACCAAGGCGACGAUCCGUAGCUGGUCUGAGAGGAUGAUCAGCCACACUGGAACUGAGACACGGUCCAGACUCCUACGGGAGGCAGCAGUGGGGAAUAUUGGACAAUGGGCGCAAGCCUGACCCAGCCAUACCGCGUGGGUGAAGAAGGCCUUCGGGUUGUAAAGCACUUUUGUUGGGAAAGAAAAGCAGCAGGUUAAUACCCCGCUGCUCUGACGGUACCCAAAGAAUAAGCACCGGCUAACUUCGUG
rnacentral:rRNA from 1 species